CAACAGGGAUUGCCUCAGUAACGGCGAGUGAAGCGGCAACAGCUCAAAUUUGAAAUCUGGCCCUAGGCCCGAGUUGUAAUUUGCAGAGGAUGCUUUUGGCAAGGUGCCUUCCGAGUUCCCUGGAACGGGACGCCAUAGAGGGUGAGAGCCCCGUCUGGUCGGACACCGAGCCUCUGUAAAGCUCCUUCGACGAGUCGAGUAGUUUGGGAAUGCUGCUCAAAAUGGGAGGUAUAUGUCUUCUAAAGCUAAAUACCGGCCAGAGACCGAUAGCGCACAAGUAGAGUGAUCGAAAGAUGAAAAGCACUUUGAAAAGAGAGUUAAAUAGCACGUGAAAUUGUUGAAAGGGAAGCGUUUAUGACCAGACUUGGCCCGGUUGAUCAUCCAGCGUUCUCGCUGGUGCACUCUGCCGGUCCAGGCCAGCAUCAGUUCGUCGCGGGGGAUAAAGGUUUCGGGAAUGUGGCUCCUCCGGGAGUGUUAUAGCCCGUUGCGUAAUACCCUGCGGUGGACUGAGGUCCGCGCUUCUGCAAGGAUGCUGGCGUAAUGGUCAUCAACGACCCGUCUUGAAACACGGACCAAGGAGUCGUCUUCGUAUGCGAGUGUUCGGGUGUAAAACCCCUACGCGUAAUGAAAGUGAACGCAGGUGAGAGCUUCGGCGCAUCAUCGACCGAUCCUGAUGUUCUCGGAUGGAUUUGAGUAAGAGCAUACGGGGCCGGACCCGAAAGAAGGUGAACUAUGCCUGUAUAGGGUGAAGCCAGAGGAAACUCUGGUGGAGGCUCGCAGCGGUUCUGACGUGCAAAUCGAUCGUCAAAUAUGGGCAUGGGGGCGAAAGACUAAUCGA
rnacentral:rRNA from 1 species